rnacentral:rRNA from 1 species
UAUACCGUGAAACUGCGAAUGGCUCAUUAAAUCAGUUAUCGUUUAUUUGAUAGUACCUUACUACUUGGAUAACCGUGGUAAUUCUAGAGCUAAUACAUGCUAAAAACCCCAACUUCGGGAGGGGUGUAUUUAUUAGAUAAAAAACCAAUGCCCUUCGGGGCUCCUUGGUGAUUCAUGAUAACUUCUCAGAUCGCAUGGCUUUACGCCGGCGACGGUUCAUUCAAAUUUCUGCCCUAUCAACUUUCGAUGGUAAGGUAGUGGCUUACCAUGGUUUCAACGGGUAACGGGGAAUUAGGGUUCGAUUCCGGAGAGGGAGCCUGAGAAACGGCUACCACAUCCAAGGAAGGCAGCAGGCGCGCAAAUUACCCAAUUCCGAUACGGAGAGGUAGUGACAAUAAAUACUGAUACAGGGCUCUUUUGGGUCUUGUAAUUGGAAUGAGUACAAUUUAAACCUCUUAACGAGGAACAAUUGGAGGGCAAGUCUGGUGCCAGCAGCCGCGGUAAUUCCAGCUCCAAUAGCGUAUAUUAAAGUUGUUGCAGUUAAAAAGCUCGUAGUUGAACCUUUGGCCUGGCUGGCAGGUCCGCCUCACCGCGUGCACUUGUCCGGCCGGGCCUUUUCUUCUGGAGAACCGCAUGCCCUUCACUGGGUGUGUUGGGGACCAGGACUUUUACUUUGAAAAAAUUAGAGUGUUCAAAGCAGGCCUUUGCUCGAAUACGUUAGCAUGGAAUAAUAGAAUAGGACGUGCGGUCCUAUUUUGUUGGUUUCUAGGACCGCCGUAAUGAUUAAUAGGGACAGUCGGGGGCAUCAGUAUUCAAUUGUCAGAGGUGAAAUUCUUGGAUUUAUUGAAGACUAACUACUGCGAAAGCAUUUGCCAAGGAUGUUUUCAUUAAUCAGUGAACGAAAGUUAGGGGAUCGAAGACGAUCAGAUACCGUCGUAGUCUUAACCAUAAACUAUGCCGACUAG